rnacentral:rRNA from 1 species
AUUGGUGACUUUAACGAAAUAUUACUGUCGUCAGAAAAGGAAGGAGGAGCCCAGCGGCAGCAGUCUAGGCUCAAAGCAUUCCAAGAUGCCCUGGCAGACUAUUCCUUAGAGGAUAUUGGAUACCAUGGUGACAAAUUUACCUUCUUUAGAGGAGGACUGCGAGAAAGAUUGGAUCGAGCAGUUUCAAAUCCGGGAUGGAUGGAGAUGCACCCGUUAUGUAGUCUUGUAAACCUGGAUAUGGGCAAGUCGGACCACAGACCUAUA